AGCUCUGAUGGCAGUGGUAUUUAUAAUUAAUUGAUUACAGUCAGUUACAGAUUUCUUUGUUCUUUCUCUUCACUUGCUGCUGAACUUGACUAGUCUUUU
rnacentral:Y_RNA from 1 species